rnacentral:rRNA from 1 species
UGCCAGCCGCCGCGGUAAUACGUAGGGUGCGAGCGUUAAUCGGAAUUACUGGGCGUAAAGGGCGCGUAGGCGGCUAGGCAAGUCAGGUGUGAAAGCCCCGGGCUUAACUCGGGAAUUGCAUCUGAAACUGCUGUGCUUGAGUUCUGGAGGGGGUAGUGGAAUUCCCAGUGUAGCGGUGAAAUGCGUAGAUAUUGGGAGGAACACCUGCGGCGAAGGCGGCUACCUGGACAGAAACUGACGCUGAGGCGCGAAAGCCAGGGGAGCAAACGGGAUUAGAUA